UAAAACGUCACCGACAUGUCAUGCAACCGAACUGUCAGAACAUGUUUACAUUCUGAUUCUUCAGUUCGGUCGGCAAGUUUUUAUAUCCGCGCGAGUGUUUCGGCGUGUUUAUGCGGUUUUUGGACAAAAUUUACGCUCAUUCAAGGCUGUGGCGGGUGAUGUUUUGCUGCCAGUUCGCAGUCUUCGCGCGGAAGACUGGACUGCAGAAAAAUCCCCUGAAAUCCCGGGAUUGACCGUGUUCUCCAUCUUGGCGAAGCAAGAGGAAACAGGUUUGGCACUUUGGCCGUCGGUCAGCCCCCUCACUGCCGCUCUACGGACUCGGCGCUCGGACGAAGGACAUUACAGAUGACUCCUUCGUCGUCCACCGAACCGCCAGCGCAGCUAUGGACUGCCAACAUAGAAGGUAUUCAUUGCCAACAAACUUCUUCCGCGGAUGUGCGCCGGGUCAUCUGGUUGGACCAGCAGGAUGUUCCGAGGGUAAAGAGAUCAUCCCUCACCAACACCUGUGGCCAAUCAACCAUCAGUCGACGACACCACCUAGAAUUAGAAUGUGUCGAAUGUUACCUGGGAAAACUUAAAU